CCUACGGGUGGCAGCAGUGGGGAAUAUUGGACAAUGGGGGGAACCCUGAUCCAGCCAUGCCGCGUGUGUGAAGAAGGCCCUCGGGUUGUAAAGCACUUUCAGUGAGGAAGAACGCCUGGUGGUUAAUACCCAUCAGGAAAGACAUCACGCACAGAAGAAGCACCGGCUAACUCCGUGCCAGCAGCCGCGGUAAUACGGAGGGUGCGAGCGUUAAUCGGAAUUACUGGGCGUAAAGCGCGCGUAGGUGGCUUGAUAAGCCGGUUGUGAAAGCCCCGGGCGCAACCUGGGCACGGCAUCCGGAACUGGCAAGCUAGAGUGCAGGAGAGGAAGGUAGAACUCCCGGUGUAGCGGUGAAAUGCGUAGAGAUCGGGAGGAAUACCAGUGGCGAAGGCGGCCUUCUGGACUGACACUGACACUGAGGUGCGAAAGCGUGGGUAGCAAACAGGAUUAGAUACCCUAGUAGUC
rnacentral:rRNA from 1 species